rnacentral:misc_RNA from 1 species
AGCAGCCGCGGUAAUUCCAGCUCCAAUAGCGUAUAUUAAAGUUGUUGUGGUUAAAAAGCUCGUAGUUGAACCUUGGGCCUGGCUGGCCGGUCCGCCUCACCGCGUGUACUGGUCCGGUCGGGCCUUUCCCUCUGUGGAACCCCAUGCCCUUCACUGGGUGUGGCGGGGAAACAGGACUUUUACUUUGAAAAAUUAGAGUGCUCCAGGCAGGCCUAUGCUCGAAUACAUUAGCAUGGAAUAAUAGAAUAGGACGUGUGGUUCUAUUUUGUUGGUUUCUAGGACCGCCGUAAUGAUUAAUAGGGACAGUCGGGGGCAUCAGUAUUCAAUUGUCAGAGGUGAAAUUCUUGGGUUUAUUGAAGACUAACUACUGCGAAAGCAUUUGCCAAGGAUGUUUUCAUUAAUCAGGAACGAAAGUUAGGGGAUCGAAGACGAUCAGAUACCGUCGUAGUCUUAACCAUAAACUAUGCCGACUAGGGAUCGGACGAUGUUAUUUUUUGUACUCGUUCGGCACCUUACGGGA